CAGUCGCCGCGGUAAUACGUAGGUGGCAAGCGUUGUCCGGAAUUAUUGGGCGUAAAGGGCUCGCAGGCGGUUUCUUAAGUCUGAUGUGAAAGCCCCCGGCUCAACCGGGGAGGGUCAUUGGAAACUGGGAAACUUGAGUGCAGAAGAGGAGAGUGGAAUUCCACGUGUAGCGGUGAAAUGCGUAGAGAUGUGGAGGAACACCAGUGGCGAAGGCGACUCUCUGGUCUGUAACUGACGCUGAGGAGCGAAAGCGUGGGGAGCGAACAGGAUAGAUACCCCGGUAGUCCCUGUCUCUUAUACA
rnacentral:rRNA from 1 species